rnacentral:rRNA from 1 species
UACGUAGGCACCAAGCGUUGUCCGGAUUUAUUGGGCGUAAAGAGCUCGUAGGCGGUUCGGUAAGUCGGGUGUGAAAACUCUGGGCUCAACCCAGAGAGGCCACCCGAUACUGCCGUGACUGGAGUGCGGUAGGGGGGUGGGGAAUUCCUGGUGUAGCGGUGAAAUUCGUAGAUAUUGGGAAGAACACCGGUGGCGAAGGCGGCCAUCUGGACCGCAACUGACGCUGAGGCGCGAGAGCGUGGGGAGCGAACUGG